AAAAAAAUUAUUUUUGUAGUAUUAAUAAUAUCAUUUUAUAAAAGCUUUGCUGUUUAUAGCGAGAAUGAAAAAUCAUGUGCUCGCAACCUAAAGAGGUUAGCAAAAUAUUCCAAAGUAAAAGAUAAUGAACAGUGAAGUGGAAUUUGUUGUCAGCUGGGAGAGAGGCUAAUAAGAGUACAGAAUCUGUAAUGUCCAAUCAUGUAGUGGGUGUUUUGGAAGUAAGCGGAUUGUUGUGUAUUUGGUGUCUUGUCACAAAAGAUCGAGGUGACAUGUUACUUUGAUGGGAGUGUCAUGUCACAUAUAAUUUACAAAGACAGUGAGGUAGCCAUAUGCUUUAGCGUUAGCGGCAAGGCUCUCUCUCUCUCUCCCCACUCCUCUCCCCUCCCCCCCCUCCCCUUGGCUGCAGCAACAGCAAUAGCAGACAAGCUUUGCUCAGUUAGUCAGUAAUGACAUAACCUUUUCUCGUUGCGAACAUCAAUGCAUGCUAGCUCUCCAUAUCCCCACUUCAUUUGCAUUUGCCCCACUUACUCUUGCAUCUUUUUGCUUUCCAAUUUUUUUGUCUUCUUGGUCAAAUUCUUAAUUAUAUAUGUUAGAGCUUCACUUUUCUUUUCCUUUUUCUUUAAAGUUUUUGGAAAAAGGUGAUAUUCGAAUCAAACAUAUCAUUUCUUCCUUUACUAAUUUCUUUCAUCUUCAAUAUUGUGUCCAAAUUUCCUUGGAAAUUUUCGUUAUUGUUAGGGUUUUUCUAAAUUAUAUUUAUUGAAAGUUAUAUAAGUAGGUAAAAUAUGGUAAAAAAUGAGCAACAAAAUAGUAGAAUCAACAAUAUACUGGGUCAUUGCAAAAAUUCAAGGUUUAAAGAAGAAUUUCAAAGUCUUUAAAGCACAAUAUGUCCCUAGAACAUGUAAUGAGUGUGCCCACUCUUUAGCUAUUGAAAAAUCUUAAUUUGUUGUUUGGGUGGAGAAAUUUCCUCCUGAAUUUUUACAAGUGUUCACUUCGUUGAAUUAAUGAAAGUUUUACUUUCUUAUAAAAAAAAGUAAAUAGUAGAUGAAUUUUGUUUAACUGUUAAUUAUAUGGAAUGUGACUUAAACUUUAUUAUUUUAGACAUCUUCUAGCUACUAAAUAAAGGUACUUUAGAGAAUUUUCUUUGCUAUUUCAAGAAAAUAAACUAAAGGUGUAUUUGGCAGCUUACAUUACACUACAUUUAAACACCGUUUUUAUGCUAACUCAAGUUCACCUACAAUGUCUAGUUGUAUUCCACUACAUAAAAAAUGUGACUAAUGUAAUGAAAGGUGCGUGAAAUAAAUCUAUGGAGAAGUAAUGUUUAAGCUGAAUUGUUUUAAAAUACUAUUCAUAUUGUAAAUAUAAUCAUUUAAC
rnacentral:lncRNA from 1 species